GAUUGGAAGAAUUAGAACGCUCUUCCAGUUCGAGUAUCAGUGGUGUGGAACCCGAGGAAGGCCAGAGGAGUAACGUUCCCUCAGCAGCAAGACCAGGAACAGCCAGUCAUUCUUCUAUGGGCCGACAUCCUGUUGAUGCUGAAGUGUCGAGGCUGUUUGCACCCUACACUAGGCAGGCUGGUGGUGCUACGGGUUGGUCAAGACAACCAAGGCGUGCCAACAACCAGCAAACGAGUUAUGCCGGUGCACCUUCUCACACACCCAGAUUUACAUACACGCACACAUUUUGUGCCUUUGCCCGUAAAGACUGUGCAGUGGUGCCCACAAGGGCUGAGAAGGAGCGCGUACUAAGAGCAGGAUUGGGGGAGAGGCGCCUGUGCUUUCGAGGUGACCUACACAGCCCACAGCAGUUUACAGAAUUUGUAUAUAUAAAUUAUCCAAAGUUGAGAGAUGCAGGGGGGUUUGAGUUUAUGCGGAUUUUUGGCAACACCAGGAGUCGACAGCUGUCACUUCUCCCUUGUCCAGAUGAGGGCGACACUGCCCAAUACUUGAAGGAUCCUGUUCUCCUCAUCCACCAUACCACAUUAUACAUUCGCCCCCUUCAGUGUAAUGUCAGCACAGAACAGGUA